GCACACUGUUGUACAAAGGAGCGUUUGAUAAACAGCAAGAGUGGAUGGGAACCACAAGCUAUCCUCCACCAUAGGGGUUCAUAGGACGGCAGAGCACAUCUGAGCCAACAUGGGGCCCAUGACAUGGCCAAGUGAAGGUUGAUGAGCCAUUAAAUCAAGUAACAAUUAUG
rnacentral:lncRNA from 1 species